GAUAAACGCUGGCGGCGUGCCUAACACAUGCAAGUCGAACGCCCUUUUGCGCAAGUGAGAGGGAGUGGCGGACGGGUGAGUACCACGUGGGUACCUACCUUGAGGUGAGGAAUACCACCGAGAAAUCGGUGACAAGACCGCAUACGCUUGGCAACAAGCAAAGUCUCGCAAGAGACGCCACAAGAUGGGCCUGCGCCUGAUUAGCUAGUUGGUGAGGUAAUGGCNCACCAAGGCGACGAUCAGUAGCUGGUCUGAGAGGAUGAUCAGCCACACUGGGAUUGAGAACGGCCCAGACUCCGUACGGGGNGG
rnacentral:rRNA from 1 species